AGCGUUCUCCCUCUCUCCCUAAUUAGUAGCUGUUAGCAUCUGGAGUUGACUGUUGGUGGAUGUAAUUUGCUGCACUCCAUCAUGUGAUGGUGCAAGGAUCAGUGAAGGGUGAUGCAAGGACCAGUCAAGAGAAAAUACACACUGAUCUUUUCACUUGUUUGAAAUUUUCAGAAAAUGAAAAUUGCCUGUUGAAAACAAAAUUCCCAUGGUAGAUCUCAGUGAAAUCUUUCCACUUCUAUGAGUGAUCCAAAUCCCUUGGAAAGGGGAGGUUUCAGUGCUUGGUUACUACCAAAAUCCACUGAAUGGCUGGAGAGGAAAAAGGGGCUGGUGCCAAGAGAUGUCAAAGGAAAGAUCUGUCAGCUGAAACCCAAAACCAUUUUCUGUACAAAAUAAAAUGGGGUGGUUGCUAUUCAUUGGUGAAGUACCAGAGCUUUCCAGGUGUGAUCCUGACAUGCUACAAAAAGAGCAAUUAUGGUUGUGCAUGUCUGGUGGCCCAAAGAAUAUUCAGGUUCCUGCCUGCUUCACUAGCCAGGAGACAGCAGUCCGAGUUGGUUAUGAACUGUUGUGAGACUUUAUGAAAAUCUGCGCAUUUACUGUGCAUUUUAUAUUAUCCUAAUCUGCAAAAAAUUAUUAAUGGCUCUGUUUCUCUUGGUUUAUAUCAGUUCUACAUAUUUUCACAAUGUAGAUGUGUCAUGAUAUAUGCCAAGUACAGCCUCCAGGCUGUAUCAAGUUACAUCAGCUCUUUGCCAUCAGCAGAUGGACAAUGUCUAUGAUUUAAUAAGCACUGUUCUGAUUAUUUAUGU